rnacentral:tRNA from 1 species
GGAGAGGUGCCGGAGCGGUUGAUCGGGGCGGCCUCGAAAGCCGUUGACCCGCUUGUCGGGUCCGUGGGUUCGAAUCCCACCCUCUCCG